AGAGCGAACGCUGGCGGCAGGCCUAAUACAUGCAAGUCGAACGGACCCUUCGGGGUUAGUGGCGGACGGGUGAGUAACACGUGGGAACGUGCCCUUUGGUUCGGAACAACUCAGGGAAACUUGAGCUAAUACCGAAUGUGCCCUUCGGGGGAAAGAUUUAUCGCCAUUGGAGCGGCCCGCGUCUGAUUAGCUAGUUGGUGGGGUAAAGGCUCACCAAGGCUACGAUCAGUAGCUGGUCUGAGAGGAUGAUCAGCCACACUGGGACUGAGACACGGCCCAGACUCCUACGGGAGGCAGCAGUAGGGAAUCUUGCGCAAUGGGGGAAACCCUGACGCAGCAACGCCGCGUGGAGGAUGAAAUCCCUUGGGAUGUAAACUCCUUUCGAUCGGGACGAUUAUGACGGUACCGGAAGAAGAAGCCCCGGCUAACUUCGUGCCAGCAGCCGC
rnacentral:rRNA from 1 species